GAGGAUUUAAAUGGCCGCAGUAUUUUGACUGUGCAAAGGUAGCAUAAUUAUUAGUUUUUUAAUUGAAAGCUUGUAUGAAGGGUUGGACGAGAUGAAAUCUGUCUUUAUUUAAAUUAAAAUAUAAUUUAACUUUUAAGUAAAAAGGCUUAAAUGUUUAUAAAAGACGAGAAGACCCUAUAGAUCUUUAUUUAAUUAAAAUUUUAAUAAUUUAGGAUUAUUUUAAUUUAAAGUUUUAAUUAAAUUUUAUUGGGGUAAUAUAAAGAUUAAAUAAAUUCUUUUUAUUUAUAACAUUGAUUUAUGAAUAUAUGAUCCAUUAAUAUUGAUUAUAAGAUUAAGUUACCUUAGGGAUAACAGCGUAAUUUUUUUGGAGAGCUCAUAUCGAUAAAAAAGUUUGCGACCUCGAUGUUGGAUUAAAAAUUAGCUUGGGUGCAGAAGCUCAAGAUUUUGGUCUGUUCGACCAUUAAAUUUUUACAUGAUCUGAGUUCAGACCGGCGUGAGCCAGGUCGGUUUCUAUCUUUAUUAAGAUAAAAUGUUUUAGUACGAAAGGACCAAAUAUUUAAUAUAAUUAUAUUUAUUUUUUGAAGAAUAUU
rnacentral:rRNA from 1 species